GACAGAGGGUGCAAACGUUGCUCGGAAUCACUGGGCGUAAAGGGCGUGUAGGCGGGAAGGAAAGUCAGAUGUGAAAUCCCCAGGCUCAACCUGGGAACUGCAUUUGAAACUCCCUUUCUUGAGUACCGGAGAGGAAAGUGGAAUUCCUGGUGUAGAGGUGAAAUUCGUAGAUAUCGGGAGGAACACCGGUGGCGAAGGCGGUUCUCUGGGCCUUACCUGACGCUGAGGAGCGAAAGCGUGGGGAGCGAAACAGG
rnacentral:rRNA from 1 species